GGAGUUGUGGCUCAGCAGUAGAGCACUUGCCUCAUAUGUGUGAGGCACUGGGUUUGAUUCCUAGCACCA
rnacentral:tRNA from 1 species